rnacentral:rRNA from 1 species
GUGAGGAAUAUUGCGCAAUGGAGGCAACUCUGACGCAGCCAUGCCGCGUGCAGGAAGAAGGCGCUACGCGUUGUAAACUGCUUUUAACCGGGAAGAAACCCCAGGACGUGUCCUGGGUUGACGGUACCGGAGGAAUAAGCACCGGCUAACUUCGUGCCAGCAGCCGCGGUAAUACGAAGGGUGCAAGCGUUAUCCGGUUUCAUUGGGUUUAAAGGGUGCGUAGGCGGAGCGUUAAGUCAGUGGUGAAAUCCUGCAGCUUAACUGUAGACUUGCCAUUGAUACUGGCGCUCUUGAGUGCGCUUGAAGUGGGCGGAAUGUGCCGUGUAGCGGUGAAAUGCUUAGAUAUGGCACAGAACACCAAUUGCGAAGGCAGCUCACUAAGGCGAUACUGACGCUGAGGCACGAAAGCGUGGGGAUCGAACAGGAUUAGAUACCCUAGUAGUCC